UACGUAGGGUGCAAGCGUUAAUCGGAAUUACUGGGCGUAAAGCGUGCGCAGGCGGUUAUGUAAGACAGGUGUGAAAUCCCCGGGCUUAACCUGGGAACUGCAUUUGUGACUGCAUAGCUAGAGUACGGCAGAGGGGGAUGGAAUUCCGCGUGUAGCAGUGAAAUGCGUAGAUAUGCGGAGGAACACCGGUGGCGAAGGCGCACAUCUGGCCCAAUACUGACGCUAAAGCGCGAAAGCUAGGGGAGCAAACGGG
rnacentral:rRNA from 1 species